rnacentral:rRNA from 1 species
GUGGGGAAUAUUGGUCAAUGGGCGAGAGCCUGAACCAGCCAAGUCGCGUGAAGGAUGAAGGUUUUAUGAAUUGUAAACUUCUUUUGCAGGGGAAUAAAGUACGGUACGUGUACCGUUUUGUAUGUACUCUGCGAAUAAGGAUCGGCUAACUCCGUGCCAGCAGCCGCGGUAAUACGGAGGAUCCGAGCGUUAUCCGGAUUUAUUGGGUUUAAAGGGUGCGUAGGUGGAUUGAUAAGUCAGCGGUGAAAGUUUGCAGCUUAACUGUAAAAUUGCCGUUGAAACUGUCGGUCUUGAGUGCAAAUGAGGUAGGCGGAAUGUGUUGUGUAGCGGUGAAAUGCAUAGAUAUCAUCCAGAACACCGAUUGCGAAGGCAGGUGGCUGUACCUUAAUCGACGCUGAUGCACGAAAGCAUGGGGAGCAAACAGGAUUAGAAACCCUGGUAGUCC